AGUGAACGCUGGCGGUAGGCCUAACACAUGCAAGUCGAACGGCAGCACAGUAAGAGCUUGCUCUUACGGGUGGCGAGUGGCGGACGGGUGAGGAAUACAUCGGAAUCUACUUUUUCGUGGGGGAUAACGUAGGGAAACUUACGCUAAUACCGCAUACGACCUACGGGUGAAAGCAGGGGAUCUUCGGACCUUGCGCGAUUGAAUGAGCCGAUGUGGGAUUAGCUAGUUGGCGGGGUAAAGGCCCACCAAGGCGACGAUCCGUAGCUGGUCUGAGAGGAGGGUCAGCCACACUGGAACUGAGACACGGUCCAGACUCCUACGGGAGGCAGCAGUGGGGAAUAUGGGACAAUGGGGGCAAGCAUGAUCCAGCCAGACCGCGUGGGUGAAGAAGGCCUUCGGGUUGUAAAGCCCUUUUGUUGGGAGAGAAAAGCAGCAGGUUAAUACCCCGCUGUUCUGACGGUACCCAAAGAAUAAGCACCGGCUAACUUCGUG
rnacentral:rRNA from 1 species